GACGAACGCUGGCGGCGUGCUUAACACAUGCAAGUCGAACGGAAAGGCCCUGCUUUUGUGGGGUGCUCGAGUGGCGAACGGGUGAGUAACACGUGAGUAACCUGCCCUUGACUUUGGGAUAACUUCAGGAAACUGGGGCUAAUACCGGAUAGGAGCUCCUGCUGCAUGGUGGGGGUUGGAAAGUUUCGGCGGUUGGGGAUGGACUCGCGGCUUAUCAGCUUGUUGGUGGGGUAGUGGCUUACCAAGGCUUUGACGGGUAGCCGGCCUGAGAGGGUGACCGGCCACAUUGGGACUGAGAUACGGACCAGACUGCUACGGGAGGCAGCAGUGGGGAAUAUUGCACAAUGGGCGGAAGCCUGAGGCAGCAACGCCGCGUGCGGGAUGACGGCCUUCGGGGUGUAAACCGCUUUCGCCUGUGACGAAGCGUGAGUGACGGUAAUGGGUAAAGAAGCACCGGCUAACUACGUG
rnacentral:rRNA from 1 species